rnacentral:rRNA from 1 species
GACGAACGCUGGCGGCGUGCUUAACACAUGCAAGUCGAACGAAGUGGCGAACGGGUGAGUAACGCGUAAUCAACCUGCCCUUCAGAGGGGGAUAACAGUUGGAAACGACUGCUAAUACCGCAUACUGAAGGAGGGGAUUGCGUCGGAUUAGCUAGUUGGAGGGGUAACGGCCCACCAAGGCGAUGAUCAGUAACCGGUCUGGGAGGGUGGACGGCCACAUUGGGACUGAGACACGGCCCAGACUGCUACGGGAGGGAGCAGUGGGGAAUCUUCCGCAAUGGGCGAAAGUCUGGCGGAGCAAAGCCGCGGGAGUGAUUACGGCCUUCGGGUUGUAAAGCUCUGUUAAUCGGGACGCGGUACCGGAAUAGAAAGCCACGGCUAACUACGUGCCAGCCGCCGCGGUAAUUC